rnacentral:rRNA from 1 species
GACGAACGCUGGCGGCGUGCUUAACACAUGCAAGUCGAGCGGUAAGGCCCUUUCGGGGGUACGACGAGCGGCGAACGGGUGAGUAACACGUGGGUGGACCUGCCCUCCAGCUCUGGGAUAAGCCUGGGAAACCGGGUCUAAUACCGGAUAUGACUCCAUGACGCAUGUUGUGGGGUGGAAAGCCUUGUGCGGCUGAGGAUGGGCCCGCGGCCUAUCAGCUUGUUGGUGGGGUGAUGGCCUACCAAGGCGACGACGGGUAGCCGGCCUGAGAGGGCGACCGGCCACACUGGGACUGAGACACGGCCCAGACUCCUACGGGAGGCAGCAGUGGGGAAUCUUGCGCAAUGGGCGAAAGCCUGACGCAGCGACGCCGCGUGAGGGAUGACGGCCUCGG